rnacentral:rRNA from 1 species
GACGAACGCUGGCGGCGUGCUUAACACAUGCAAGUCGAGGGGUCUGGCUUCGGCCAGGCACCGGCGAACGGGUGCGUAACACGUGAGCAACCUGCCCGCUUGUGGGGGAUAGCCGGCCCA